AGCAGCAUGGCUUACUGGAAAGAGCACAGGCUUUGGAGUCAGAGGAUGUGGGUUUUAAUCCCUCCUCUGCUA
rnacentral:tRNA from 1 species